AGGUCCUACCCACAUGGCUCUCUGAGGAGCUGUGCGAGUUUACCUUCGACGAUGGCCCACAGAAACGUAGUGAUGGUGGCUGGCUUUUUAAAGAAGUGAAGGUGGUACCUUGAAAACUAAGUGAUACAUGAUCAUUCAAGCUGAAAGUGUCGAUGGUUUGCUGUAGGAUUAAACAUCACGUGGUGUUAGGUGUUCCUAGGCCGAUGGAUACACCCAAGGAUGAAAGAUGGUUAGGAGCCUGGACCAAGUCCUAUUAUUCAUGGAAUUUGUUCUGCAAAUUAAAAAAAAUGACCCCUUGAAA
ensembl:lncRNA novel transcript